UACGGAGGGUGCAAGCGUUAAUCGGAAUUACUGGCGUAAAGCGUGCGCAGGCGGUUUGUUAAGUCCGCUGUGAAAAUCCCCGAGCUCAACUUGGGAAUUGCAGUGGAUAACUGGCAAGCUGGAGUAUGGUAGAGGAAGGUGGAAUUCCCGGGUGAUAGCAGUGAAAUGGCGUAGCAGAUCGGGAGGAACACCAGUGGCGAAGGCGGCCUCUGGACCAAUACUGACGCUCAUGGCACGAAAGCGUGGGGAGCAAACAGG
rnacentral:rRNA from 1 species